rnacentral:rRNA from 1 species
ACCUUUAAAGACCGGAACCUACACAUGCAAGUCGAGCGGUAGCACAGAGAGCUUGCUCUCGGGUGACGAGCGGCGGACGGGUGAGUAAUGUCUGGGAAACUGCCUGAUGGAGGGGGAUAACUACUGGAAACGGUAGCUAAUACCGCAUAACGUCGCAAGACCAAAGUGGGGGACCUUCGGGCCUCAUGCCAUCAGAUGUGCCCAGAUGGGAUUAGCUAGUAGGUGGGGUAACGGCUCACCUAGGCGACGAUCCCUAGCUGGUCUGAGAGGAUGACCAGCCACACUGGAACUGAGACACGGUCCAGACUCCUACGGGAGGCAGCAGUGGGGAAUAUUGCACAAUGGGCGCAAGCCUGAUGCAGCCAUGCCGCGUGUGUGAAGAAGGCCUUCGGGUUGUAAAGCACUUUCAGCGGGGAGGAAGGCGAUAAGGUUAAUAACCUUGGCGAUUGACGUUACCCGCAGAAGAAGCACCGGCUAACUCCGUGCCAGCAGCCGCGGUAAUACGGAGGGUGCAAGCGUUAAUCGGAAUUACUGGGCGUAAAGCGCACGCAGGCGGUCUGUCAAGUCGGAUGUGAAAUCCCCGGGCUCAACCUGGGAACUGCAUUCGAAACUGGCAGGCUAGAGUCUUGUAGAGGGGGGUAGAAUUCCAGGUGUAGCGGUGAAAUGCGUAGAGAUCUGGAGGAAUACCGGUGGCGAAGGCGGCCCCCUGGACAAAGACUGACGCUCAGGUGCGAAAGCGUGGGGAGCAAACAGGAUUAGAUACCCUGGUAGUCCACGCCGUAAACGAUGUCGAUUUGGAGGUUGUGCCCUUGAGGCGUGGCUUCCGGAGCUAACGCGUUAAAUCGACCGCCUGGGGAGUACGGCCGCAAGGUUAAAACUCAAAUGAAUUGACGGGGGCCCGCACAAGCGGUGGAGCAUGUGGUUUAAUUCGAUGCAACGCGAAGAACCUUACCUGGUCUUGACAUCCACAGAACUUUCCAGAGAUGGAUUGGUGCCUUCGGGAACUGUGAGACAGGUGCUGCAUGGCUGUCGUCAGCUCGUGUUGUGAAAUGUUGGGUUAAGUCCCGCAACGAGCGCAACCCUUAUCCUUUGUUGCCAGCGGUUCGGCCGGGAACUCAAAGGAGACUGCCAGUGAUAAACUGGAGGAAGGUGGGGAUGACGUCAAGUCAUCAUGGCCCUUACGACCAGGGCUACACACGUGCUACAAUGGCAUAUACAAAGAGAAGCGACCUCGCGAGAGCAAGCGGACCUCAUAAAGUAUGUCGUAGUCCGGAUUGGAGUCUGCAACUCGACUCCAUGAAGUCGGAAUCGCUAGUAAUCGUAGAUCAGAAUGCUACGGUGAAUACGUUCCCGGGCCUUGUACACACCGCCCGUCACACCAUGGGAGUGGGUUGCAAAAGAAGUAGGUAGCUUAACCUUCGGGAGGGCGCUACCACUUUGAUUUUACCG